ACGGGUGCGGAACACGUACGCAACCUUCCUUUAAGUGAGGGAUAGCUUUCGGAAACGAAAAUUAAUACCUCGUAAGAUUGUGAGAUGGCAUCAUCUUAUAAUUAUAGCUCCGGCGCUUAAAGAUGGGCGUGCGCCUGAUUAGGUAGUUGGCGGAGUAACAGCCCACCAAGCCUACGAUCAGUAACUGGUGUGAGAGCACGACCAGUCACACGGGCACUGAGACACGGGCCCGACUCCUACGGGAGGCAGCAGUAAGGAAUAUUGGUCAAUGGACGCAAGUCUGAACCAGCCAUGCCGCGUGGAGGAUGAAGGUCCUCUGGAUUGUAAACUUCUUUUAUCGGAGAAGAAACCCCGGAAUUCUUUCUGGGUUGACGGUACCCGAUGAAUAAGCACCGGCUAACUCCGUGCCAGCAGCCGCGGUAAUACGGAGGGUGCAAGCGUUAUCCGGAUUCACUGGGUUUAAAGGGUGCGUAGGUGGGUUGGUAAGUCAGUGGUGAAAUCUCCAAGCUUAACUUGGAAACUGCCGUUGAUACUAUCAAUCUUGAAUCUCGUGGAGGUAAGCGGAAUAUGUCAUGUAGCG
rnacentral:rRNA from 2 species